UCUUCUCUCUUUUUCUUCUUUCCUCUCGUUUUUCCUGUUCUUCGGCUGUGAUUGUUUUGAGAAUCAAAAACUAAAGAUUUUGAGUUUGAAUUAAGAGAAGUAAGAUCGAUAGAGGAAAUCUGCUGGUGGUGGUGUUAAUUCGAGUUAAGAAUUCAAACUCCAUUGGAAAAGUUAGUCUUUAUUAACAACGGUCGAUUCAAAGGAUGAACCAGUGGAUUGAGAAUCUUGAGGUAGGCGAGGUUUGUCUUCAAAACAGUUUUUCAGUUACCAGAAGUUAUGGUGUACGCGAAGAUAUUCGUUUCCGUCUCUUAAAUAUUUUAGAGUUGUUGCGAAUUAUUUUAGGUUUGUACAUUAUUUUUGUAAUCACAAACACACUAUUAAUUUAUAUAACUUGAGAGAUUUUUCAUUUAUAAUUGUUCGAGUGGUGGGUUUAGCUUUGGGUUAAGUUUUGUAUAAGAUUUUCUAUUUGGAAGUUAAGAUAUAUGGUUGAGAUCUUUAAUGCCUCAUUAGGUAGUUAAUCACUUGGGUUAAUAAGUAGCUUAAUUUUUUGGGCGCUACAAAGUCGUUCCUGAUCUUCAUGUGUGAUGAAAUUGGAUUGUUGAUUCCCUUCUACUGGGCGUUCAAGAGCAACGCGAACUUCUUCAUCUAUAAACGUGCAUCCUGCUGAAGUG